rnacentral:rRNA from 1 species
UACGAAGGGGCUAGCGUUGCUCGGAAUCACUGGGCGUAAAGCGCACGUAGGCGGAUUGUUAAGUCAGGGUGAAAUCCUGGAGCUCAACUCCAGAACUGCCUUUGAUACUGGCGAUCUCGAGUCCGGGAGAGGUGAGUGGAACUGCGAGUGUAGAGGUGAAAUUCGUAGAUAUUCGCAAGAACACCAGUGGCGAAGGCGGCUCACUGGCCCGGUACUGACGCUGAGGUGCGAAAGCGUGGGAGCAACAGGG